AUUCUCUAUUGCGAUCUGUUUUACAUCAUAUCACUUAUCAUUAAUCCUAACUGAAAAGAUUUGGCGAUCAUCGAGUUUAGCCUUGAAAGUUCUUCUUUCUUUGAAAAGGGUAUAAGUAACUUUCCAAGAAAGUGCCUAAACUUUGCAACACCCCAAGUAUGGUGCCGUGGCACCCCAGUUGAAAAACACUUCCCUAAGUAAUCAUUGAAUGAUGAUUUGUAACUUUUCUAACUAUAGAUCUUUGCAAGUUUUCAUGUUUCCUUAUCUUCUCAAUCUUUCACAAAAGAUUUUUCAUAGGGUCAUUUGUUAGCUGCUCAGUCCCAUAUUUUUGUAUAUAUUUAAGUAUUCUAUAUGUUUCUAUUUUAAGGAGAUAUUUUCAUGAUUUUAUCUCUCUCAUUAUUAUUAUUAGGGCUUCUCUUUUUUUUUUAUUUUUCAGUAUCUCUUAGAUUAAGUUCUCACUUUGCUAAUAGGUCCUCUCUUUUAUUCUUGUGGUUCCUUCUUUGGCUCUCCUCUAACAUUCUCCAAUUGUUUCUUUUGUGCAUUCAUCUAAUGGUUUUAAUAAAGCUUCCAUGGGAGGUAUAAUGUCCUAUAGUUUUGUAUGUUUAUAGGCAUAAAUUGGUCCUUUUUGAAACAGUUCUUUAUUACAAGGAUAUCAAUUUUUACCUUUGUUUAUAAAUAUAUACACAAGCUUAGUCUUUUUAGGCAGAAAUGUUUAAGCCAUGGUCACACUGUGCAAUUUUUCGUCGCGCGCACGGCUGCAACACCAAUGGCAACGAGUUGCACUCGCCAGAUAGUGG
rnacentral:lncRNA from 1 species